rnacentral:rRNA from 1 species
CGGAGGGAUCAUUACUGAGUUUACGCUCUAUAACCCUUUGUGAACAUACCUAUAACUGUUGCUUCGGCGGGUAGGGUCUCCGUGACCCUCCCGGCCUCCCGCCCCCGGGCGGGUCGGCGCCCGCCGGAGGAUAACCAAACUCUGAUUUAACGACGUUUCUUCUGAGUGGUACAAGCAAAUAAUCAAAACUUUUAACAACGGAUCUCUUGGUUCUGGCAUCGAUGAAGAACGCAGCGAAAUGCGAUAAGUAAUGUGAAUUGCAGAAUUCAGUGAAUCAUCGAAUCUUUGAACGCACAUUGCGCCCGCCAGCAUUCUGGCGGGCAUGCCUGUUCGAGCGUCAUUUCAACCCUCAAGCUCUGCUUGGUGUUGGGGCCCUACAGCUGAUGUAGGCCCUCAAAGGUAGUGGCGGAGCCUCCCGGAGCCUCCUUUGCGUAGUAACUUUACGUCUCGCACUGGGAUCCGGAGGGACUCUUGCCGUAAAACCCCCAAUUUUCCAAAGGUUGACCUCGGAUCAGGUAGGAAUACCCGCUGAACUUAAGCAUAUCA